AUUGAUGACCAUAGUGCUGUGGUUCUACCUGACACCAUCCCGAACUCAGAAGUAAAACGCAGUAACGCCGAUGGUAGUGUAGUGUUUCGCUAUGUGAGAGUAGGGCAUCAUCAAUC
rnacentral:rRNA from 1 species